ACCCUGUGUUUACAAACUGUGGAAGCACAUUAUUGGUGCAACCGCGUACUUUUUGUAGAACGGUCCGGCGAGUUACGUCGGCUGGCGAGGUUAAGGACGCAAAGUCCGGAGCCGAAGGGAAACCAAGUCUUAAUAGGGCCAGAGUCAGUCAACGUAGACCCGAAACCGGGUGAUCUACCCAUGUCCAGGUUGAAGUUGCCG
rnacentral:rRNA from 1 species